CCGGCCCUCCGCGAGCACCCGCGGGGGUUCGGGUUCCGGACCCGGUCCGAUCCCGUUCCCACCGAGGGGCUGUCCGCGAUCAUGGAGGUGUCCUCGGACGGCGUCGAAUCUUUUUUUCUCCGGUCCGCGACGCUACGGCUUGGAUGGUCCACCCGACCCGUCUUGAAACACGGACCAAGGAGUCUAACAUGCGCGCGAGUCGUUGGGUCGGACACGCUCCGCUAAACCCAUAGGCGCAAUGAAAGUGAAGGCCGCCGUCGGGCGGCCGAGGGAGGACGGGGCCGGUCGCGCGUUCCGGCGCGCGUCGGUCCCCGCACCCCCGGGGCGUCUGAUCCCUCAUCGCGAGGGGAGGCGCACCCAGAGCGCACACGUUGGGACCCGAAAGAUGGUGAACUAUGCCUGGCCAGGACGAAGUCAGGGGAAACCCUGAUGGAGGUCCGUAGCGAUUCUGACGUGCAAAUCGAUCGUCGGAGCUGGGUAUAGGGGCGAAAGACUAAUCGAACCAUCUAGUAGCUGGUUCCCUCCGAAGUUUCCCUCAGGAUAGCUUGCGCUCGGAGGAGAGUCUCAUCCGGUAAAGCGAAUGAUUAGAGGCCUUGGGGCCGAAACGGCUUCAACCUAUUCUCAAACUUUAAAUGGGUGAGAACUCCGGCUUGCUCGACUUGUCGAAGCCGGAGACGGGGCUCCGGCCCCCGGGAUCGGAGUGCAUAGUGGGCCACUUUUGGUAAGCAGAACUGGCGCUGUGGGAUGAACCAAACGACGGGUUAAGGCGCCCGAAUCGACGCUCAUGGGAAACCAUGAAAGGUGUUGGUUGCUUAAGACAGCAGGACGGUGGCCAUGGAAGUCGGAAUCCGCUAAGGAGUGUGUAAUAACUCACCUGCCGAAGCAACUAGCCCUGAAAAUGGAUGGCGCUGAAGCGUCGUGCCUAUACCCGGCCGUCGCGGCAGGGCGGACCCGCGAGGGUGCCGUUCGAUGCGGCGACGAGUAGGAGGGUCGCGGCGGCGCGCGCAGAAGGGUCUGGGCUCGAGCCUGCCUGGAGCCGCCGCCGGUGCAGAUCUUGGUGGUAGUAGCAAAUACUCCAGCGAGGCCCUGGAGGACUGAUGUGGAGAAGGGUUUCGUGUGAACAGCCGUUGCACACGAGUCAGUCGAUCCUAAGCCCUAGGAGAAAUCCGACGCCAACGGCGACGGGAAAAACGAACGAACGAAAGAAACCCGUUGAUCGGGCGAAAGGGAAUCCGGUUCCUAUUCCGGAACCCGGCAGCGGAACCGCUGUUUGUCGGGCCCUCACAAGGGGUUCGUCAGGGUAACCUAAAAGGGCCCGGAGACGCCGUCGGGAGCCCCGGAAAGAGUUUUCUUUUCUGCAUGAGCGUUCGAGUUCCCUGGAAUCCU
rnacentral:rRNA from 1 species